rnacentral:rRNA from 1 species
CUGCCCCUACGGGGCGCAGCAGUGGGGAAUAUUGCACAAUGGGGGGAACCCUGAUGCAGCGACGCCGCGUGGGUGAAGGAGUAUUUCGGUAUGUAAAGCCCUAUCAGCAGGGAAGAAGAAAUGACGGUACCUGAGUAAGAAGCACCGGCUAAAUACGUGCCAGCAGCCGCGGUAAUACGUAUGGUGCAAGCGUUAUCCGGAUUUACUGGGUGUAAAGGGAGCGCAGGCGGCACGGCAAGCCUGAUGUGAAAGCCCGCGGCCCAACCGCGGGGCUGCAUUGGGAACUACCGGGCUGGAGUGCCGGG